CUCCCCUUCCCUUCCCCACACUCUCCCCUCCCCUCUCCCUCUCUCCCCUUUCACUCUGUAGGUAGGUCUCUCUCCCUCACUCGCUCUCUCGUCGUCGCCACUGAUUUCUGUUCACCAACAAAGAGCUGUCACUCUCCCCUCAAAAACUCCCGGUUCUGUCUGCGCGAAGGACCACCACUUUAUGGUCAAAAUGUUGUUUACCUGAAGGACACUUGAUUUGAUUUGAUGAUCUUAUGCAACCCUGCUGCGAUUAAGAGCCAGUUUUAAAGGGUGUGAAACCCCUGUUACGCAAAUAUGACCAAAUGGCUUUAUUGGCCAACAUGCAGGACACAUACGGUGACAACAAACCAAAAAGGAUGCAUCGUUUGACCAACGCGCACAGGGCCUUUGCAGCUGAGGCCCGGAUAACGAGCUCCGGUCCCCGCUUGGCUCUAUGGCUGAGGACGUGAAGAAGUAGAAACACUGGCUGAAUCUGUGACUCGGCUUGGGUCCCAUUAAUAGAUUUAGUGAGGCUCUGAGGGAGUGGUGUGUGUGUGUGUGGGGGGGGGGGGCUGCAGGUGUGGAUGCUUCUUCUCAAGACCCCCCCUCCCACCCCACCAUGAAGUUGUGUUGGCUUUAAUUGGAGGCCCCUUGAUAGCAGUGGUGUAUUAGACAAGGCAGGGCCCUCCCGGACGGGCUGGACCCGCAGCUGUUCUGAGAAGCGUUUCAUUUGCGCUCUGUCAGUGUCGCAGCAGCAGCCACGGGGCGGUGAAAAGACACCCGAAAAGGACACACCGAUUUCAUUUCACCUGGACAAAGACACCCUGAGAGGACCGAUCAACUCACUGCCGUGCGAUAGUUGAUCUGUCUGCCGUGUUCUGUCUCCCCCUCUCUCUCUCUCGCUCUCUCUCUCUUUCUCUCUUUCUCUCCCCGGAAUUAAAAAAAGGCGCCUUCUGAUUUCAAUAAGUGGAUUUAAUCAGGCAGUAAAAUAUAAAAGAAAGCAGCAUGUGUGCGUGUUCGUAUUUUAUCAAGACAUCAUUCUUGUCGAUAAAAAAAGCACUGCGUUGACCCGUUGCCGCCAGCAGUGACAUUUCAUCUGACUGAAGAGGGUUUAACAAUGUGUCAGUGAACUCCAAGAGGCUGAGGGAAUAAUGCCAUUGUAUUGUCGUUUCGUUUUCUUUGUUUCCAAUUCCGAUAUUACCCGCAACUAAAUAUAUCAUAACGACCCUUUUUUGUCGUUUCACAAAAUCAUGCUUUGGGUGAUUAUAUAUAUUUUAGUGCAAAUAAGAGUUCUCGUUUGAAACGUUUUCCUGUGUCCAAUUAAGCAACCUGGCUAUGCAUGUUACACGUCAUAUUUCAUAACUGGAAUUAGGUGUAUUGAAGAAUAUUAAUCUGGGCGGUCCUGUGUCAUUCUUCGUUUAAUUGAAUAGUUUGCCCUAAUUUCACAAUUGUUUGGUUUGAUCAAAUUAAGUCUGUUAAAAAAACAAUAAUCGUUGCUUAUUGGAGCAUAUUGAACAACAUGUCAAUUCUUUUGCGCUUUAAAAAAAUGAAAUUAAAAACGGUAUUAUUAUCCCUAUUUAAAAUUGCGUUUUAACCAAGCUGGGCUCACUGGGUCGGACUUUUCUCAUAUAAAUAAAUUUAAAAAAAAAUCUAAAAUAUCCAACAAACUGUAUUACGUAUUUUCCCACAGAUUUAUAAGAAGAGCGUCAUUACAUAUUUUCAUAUUUUCCACUGCCGUUCAACUUGCAGGAUUUUCAUACCACUCACUCAUGUUUACAAAAUUCUGAUUGUUGUUAAGCUAAUUAAAAAAAAUGUUUGCAAAAUCCAUCAAACAAAUAAAUAAUGAUUGGUAGUUUAGCUUCCACAGCCUCCCUGUUUAUCCCGGAGAAUAUAAGGCACCGGUUUUAUCACGCGUUACAUCUGUCGCGCGUUGCUUCAAGGCGGUUUUGUUUUACAAGCCUACCGUGGAUUAUUUGUUUCUCCCAAGCAGACAUAUAGAAAGGUCUUACCUGCGGCUGUGCAGUGCGUGAGAUCCCUGUGCAGUGCGUGAGAUCCCUGUGCACUGGCGGGGCGCUUUCGGACUGCGCGCAGUGUGCAGAGGAGACAAGAGGAGACGCUGCCGGUAGAUGGGGGCUGUUCCUCGUUUCUGAGCGUGCACACUUUGAGAUCGAGCGUCAAUUAAAAAUUGGAGACAUUUAAAUAUUCCUCUCCCGCGCGCACACAGCUGCACGGCGCGCGGCUGGUAACGCACAGAGAACGAGAAGCACACGAGCCGAUGGCCUGCUCACCACGUAGGGGUUGAAUGUGUGAGAAGCAUUCGAACAUUAAAGGAGAAAUCCUCUUUGUGUCGCUUAUGGCCAAAUAGCAAAGAGAUGCCGUUUGUUUUGGCUGCAGGCAGAUGCUGGAAUAUCUCAAAUCAGAAAGUGUAAUUUUGUAUUAUUUUAACCCCAGAAGAUGGAGUUGACCGAACAGCUAUUGUUUUUACGAGUAUACAGUGUGUGUAUUUGUGUGUGUGUGUGUGUGUGUGUGUGUGUGUGUGGUUCAAGUUAAAUGAAGAGGCCGACGGUUCCACUGGUGUGAGAGCGGAAGUUUGCGUGAAUAAAUAAUGAGCCAAACCGGAUCAGUCAAUCUGACAAAGAUGUGAAGCAGCAACACAAGGUCUGCUGAGAAAAACACGGUUUCAUAUUGAUAAAAAAAAAAUCACUUUCGGGAUAGAGGUGCUGAAUACUUACUGAAUUGUACGUAUUUGUAGUGACAACAAUCUAAAACAAGUGUGCUAGGCUAUUUGUUAAGAAAUGAGAUGUUGUGUGUUGUAUUAUAAAACCUGUAUAGACGUUGAAAAGGCUCAUUUAUAAAUAAUACAAUACUC